CUGGCGGCGUGCUUAACACAUGCAAGUCGAACGCGAAAGGGACUUCGGUCCUGAGUAAAGUGGCGCACGGGUGAGUAACGCGUAGAUAACCUGUCUUCAUGUCUGGAAUAAUACGCCAAAGGGGUACUAAUACCGGAUAUUCUUGCUUUUCAUAAGUUAUGCAAGCAAAGGUGGCCUCUGCAUAUGCUACUGCAUGAAGAGGGGUCUGCGUACCAUUAGCUAGUAGGUGGGGUAAUGACCUACCUAGGCGACGAUGGUUAGCGGGUCUGAGAGGAUGAUCCGCCACACUGGCACUGGAACACGGGCCAGACUCCUACGGGAGGCAGCAGUGAGGAAUAUUGCGCAAUGGGGGAAACCCUGACGCAGCGACGCCGCGUGAGUGAGGAAGGCCUUCGGGUCGUAAAGCUCUGUCAAGAGGAAAGAAGUGUACAAUGGCUAAUACCUGUUGUAUUUGACGGUACCUCUAAAGGAAGCACCGGCUAACUCCGUGCCAGCCGCCGC
rnacentral:rRNA from 1 species